rnacentral:rRNA from 1 species
UACGGGGGGAGCAAGCGUUGUUCGGAUUUACUGGGCGUAAAGGGCGCGUAGGCGGCCAGCGCAAGUCAGUUGUGAAAUCUCCGGGCUUAACUCGGAACGGUCAACUGAUACUGUGCGACUAGAGUGCGGAAGGGGCAACUGGAAUUCUUGGUGUAGCGGUGAAAUGCGUAGAUAUCAAGAGGAACACCUGCGGCGAAGGCGGGUUGCUGGGCCGACACUGACGCUGAGGCGCGAAAGCCAGGGGAGCGAACGGG